GAUGAACGCUGGCGGCGUGCCUAAUACAUGCAAGUCGAGCGAACGGACGAGAAGCUUGCUUCUCUGAUGUUAGCGGCGGACGGGUGAGUAACACGUGGAUAACCUACCUAUAAGACUGGGAUAAUUUCGGGAAACCGGAGCUAAUACCGGUUAAUAUUUUGAACCGCAUGGUUCAAAAGUGAAAGACGGUCUUGCUGUCACUUAUAGAUGGAUCCGCGCUGCAUUAGCUAGUUGGUAAGGUAACGGCUUACCAAGGCAACGAUGCAUAGCCGACCUGAGAGGAUGAUCAGCCACACUGGAACUGAGACACGGUCCAGACUCCUACGGGAGGCAGCAGUAGGGAAUAUUCGACAAUGGGCGAAAGCCUGACGGAGCAACGCCGCGUGGGUGAUGAAGGUCUUCGGAUCGUAAAACUCUGUUAUUGGGGAAGAACAUAUGUGUAAGUAACUGUGGACAUCCUGACGGUACCUAAUCAGAAAGCCCCGGCUAACUACGUG
rnacentral:rRNA from 1 species